rnacentral:rRNA from 1 species
GACGAACGCUGGCGGCGUGCUUAACACAUGCAAGUCGAACGGAAAGGCCCUGCUUUUGUGGGGUGCUCGAGUGGCGAACGGGUGAGUAACACGUGAGUAACCUGCCCUUGCCUUUGGGAUAACUUCAGGAAACUGGGGCUAAUACCGGAUAGUAGCUCCUGCUGCAUGGUGGGGGUUGGAAAGUUUCGGCCGUUGGGGAUGGACUCGCGGCUUAUCAGCUUGUUGGUGGGGUAGUGGCUUACCAAGGCUUUGACGGGUAGCCGGCCUGAGAGGGUGACCGGCCACAUUGGGACUGAGAUACGGCCCAGACGCCUACGGGAGGCAGCAGUGGGGAAUAUUGCACAAUGGGCGGAAGCCUGAUGCAGCAACGCCGCGUGCGGGAUGACGGCCUUCGGGUUGUAAACCGCUUUCGCCUGUGACGAAGCGGGAGUGACGGUAAUGGGUAAAGAAGCACCGGCUAACUACGUG